rnacentral:rRNA from 1 species
UUUAUUGGAGAGUUUGAUCCUGGCUCAGGAUGAACGCUGGCGGCGUGCCUAAUACAUGCAAGUCGAGCGAAUGGAUUAAGAGCUUGCUCUUAUGAAGUUAGCGGCGGACGGGUGAGUAACACGUGGGUAACCUGCCCAUAAGACUGGGAUAACUCCGGGAAACCGGGGCUAAUACCGGAUAACAUUUUGAACUGCAUGGUUCGAAAUUGAAAGGCGGCUUCGGCUGUCACUUAUGGAUGGACCCUCGUCUCAUUAGCU